rnacentral:rRNA from 1 species
CACGUAGGGUGCGAGCGUUGUCCGGAAUUAUUGGGCGUAAAGAGCUCGUAGGCGGUGUGUCGCGUCGGCCGUGAAAACCUGCAGCUUAACUGUGGGCUUGCGGUCGAUACGGGCAUCACUGGAGUUCGGCAGGGGAGACUGGAAUUCCUGGUGUAGCGGUGAAAUGCGUAGAUAUCUGGAGGAACACCGGUGGCGAAGGCGGCAUCCUGGACCAACACUGACGCUGAGGAGCAAAAGCCAGGGGAGCAAACGGG